rnacentral:rRNA from 1 species
GACGAAUGCUGGCGGCGUGCUUAACACAUGCAAGUCGAACGAGGUCCGAACAGUGGCAACACUGGGAAAGACCGAGUGGCGAACGGGUGCGUAACACGUGAGGAACCUGCCCCGGUCUCUGGAAUAACAGUGGGAAACCACUGCUAAUACCGGAUAUCUCCUCAGAACCGCAUGGCUCUGAGAAGAAAGGGUUACCGGAUCGGGAGGGUCUCGCGGCCUAUCAGCUUGUUGGUGGGGUAAUGGCCUACCAAGGCUCCGACGGGUAGCUGGUCUGAGAGGACGAUCAGCCACACUGGGACUGAGACACGGCCCAGACUCCUACGGGAGGCAGCAGUGGGGAAUCUUGCGCAAUGGGCGAAAGCCUGACGCAGCAACGCCGCGUGCGGGAUGAAGGCCCUCGGG